AUAAAAGUUCAGGAGGUGCAUCAUCUAUAACUACUUCUGUAGAAAUAUAGGGGAAACUGUAAUUACAUCCUCAGAAACUUAUGCUUUCAAGUAAAAGGCAAAUAAAAUUAGUAAAAUAACUUCAUGCAACUCAUGGCUAUCCAGAGGCAGCUUUAUUCAAUGGAAGUGCUCUCACUGCUGGUUCACAGCAAGGGUUCCCAUGACAACCAAGAAUACACAGUACUGUGGUGAUGCUGUUUGCCCAGGGAUAUCCUGUCAUUAAUAUAAAUAAGUAGAUAACGAUAUCUAGUCUAUAGGUAUUAUGAUCCACAGCUGUCCAUAAAUGACAACUGCAGAGUAGAAUGGAAUGCUCAGAACUGAGUUUAUUCCAAGUUCAAUUAAAGUUUUAUUUCCUUACUUUCUAAAAACAUCAAAGUAUAUGCUUCUAAAUUAUUCUACUGUGUUUCACUAUAAUUUUCAAGUUUGGUUUCAUCCUGGAUUAUGACCUUUCAGUGAGCUGGGACAGUAAUGUGGCCCCAGUUGACCAUCAGCCAUCAACCACCACCCAGUUAAAGUCAAUGAUAUGAACUGCACGCUUAAAGAUUCACAGGUAGGAGCAAUGCUACUUAGAAGUUUCACGGAGGCCAAAGUUCAGUGAAAGCAAGACCAAGCCAAUGACACAGAGCCAGCCAAUGACACAUCAACACUGACAAGGAGAAGGAUGUGCAGCAAUAGGGGCACAAGCAUUGACCUUUGAAGAGUCACAUCAUAGCUGUGUUAGCACUGAACCACAGGGCACUGGUGUCUUUUUUCAUCCUGAAAAUUCUGAUUCAACAAAAAAGUUUCUUUCCUUCCCAAUUUACCUUCCUUUGAACUAAUUAAACUUCUAUCCUCUU